rnacentral:rRNA from 1 species
UAAGGAAUAUUGGUCAAUGGACGCAAGUCUGAACCAGCCAUGCCGCGUGAAGGAUUAAGGCCCUCUGGGUUGUAAACUUCUUUUAUAGGGGAAGAAAUGUGACGGUUCUCCGUCACUUGACGGUACCCUGGGAAUAAGCACCGGCUAACUCCGUGCCAGCAGCCGCGGUAAUACGGAGGGUGCAAGCGUUAUCCGGAUUCACUGGGUUUAAAGGGUGCGUAGGUGGGCAGAUAAGUCAGUGGUGAAAUCCUACAGCUUAACUGUAGAACUGCCUUUGAUACUUUUAUUCUUGAGUUCGGGAGAGAGAGACGGAAUUCCAGGUGUAGUGGUGAAAUACGUAGAUAUCUGGAAGAACACCAGUUGCGAAGGCGGUCUCUUGGUCCGACACUGACGCUGAGGCGCGAAAGCGUGGGGAGCAAACA